rnacentral:tRNA from 1 species
GCAGCAUUCGUCUAGCGGUUAGGACACCGCCCUUUCACGGCGGUAACACGGGUUCGAUUCCCGUAUGCUGUA